rnacentral:rRNA from 1 species
GACGAACGCUGGCGGCGUGCUUAACACAUGCAAGUCGAACGGAAAGGCUUUGCUUUUUUGGGGUGCUCGAAUGGCGAACGGGUGAGGAACAAGGGAGUAAUCUGCCCUGGGCAUUGGGAUAUCUUCAGGGAACUAGGGCUAAGACCGGAUAGGUGCUACUCUUGCAUGUCGGGGGAUGGAAAGAUUCGGUGGUUGGGGAUGGACUGGCGGCAUAUGAGCUUGUGGGUGGGGUAGUGGCUGAACAAGGCUUUGACUGGUAGCAGGCCGGAGAGGGUGACAGGCCACAUUGGGACUGAGACACAGCCCAGACCCCUACGGCAGCCAGAAGUGGCGAAUAUUGCACAUUGGGCGGAAGCCUGAUGCAGCAACUGCGCGUGCGCGAUGACGGCCUUCGGGUUGUAAACCGAUUUCGCCUGUGACGAAGCGUGAGUGACGGUACUAGGUAAAGAAGCACCGGCUAACUACGUG